AUUGAACGCUGGCGGAAUGCUUUACACAUGCAAGUCGAACGGCAGCACGGACUUCGGUCUGGUGGCGAGUGGCGAACGGGUGAGUAAUGUAUCGGAACGUGCCCAGUCGUGGGGGAUAACGUAGUGAAAAUUACGCUAAUACCGCAUACGAUCUAUGGAUGAAAGCGGGGGACCGUAAGGCCUCGCCCGAUUGGAGCGGCCGAUAUCAGAUUAGGUAGUUGGUGGGGAAAAGGCUCACCAAGCCGACGAUCUGUGGCUGGUCUGAGAGGACGACCAGCCACACUGGAACUGAGACACGGUCCAGACUCCUACGGGAGGCAGCAGUGGGGAAUUUUGGACAAUGGGCGCAAGCCUGAUCCAGCCAUUCCGCGUGCAGGAUGAAGGCCCUCGGGUUGUAAACUGCUUUUGUACGGAACGAAAAGGCUCUGGUUAAUACCUGGGGUCAUGACGGUACCGUAAGAAUAAGCACCGGCUAACUACGUGCCAGCCGCCGCGGUAA
rnacentral:rRNA from 1 species